rfam:Flavobacterium sp. FPG59 Contig_75, whole genome shotgun sequence.
UCCUAGCCCUGAUAGCAGUGGAAAUCCUAUCCCACGGUACCGCUUGUUGCGGUACCGUGGGAUAGAUUGCAACGAAUAGCAGGAAAUAGC